GACGAACGCUGGCGGCGUGCCUAAUACAUGCAAGUAGAACGCACAGUUUAUACCGUAGCUUGCUACACCAUAGACUGUGAGUUGCGAACGGGUGAGUAACGCGUAGGUAACCUGCCUGGUAGCGGGGGAUAACUAUUGGAAACGAUAGCUAAUACCGCAUAAUAUUAAUUAUUGCAUGAUAAUUAAUUGAAAGGUGCAAUUGCACCACUACCAGAUGGACCUGCGUUGUAUUAGCUAGUAGGUUAGGUAACGGCUCAACUAGGCGACGAUACAUAGCCGACCUGAGAGGGGGAACGGCCAAACUGGGACUGGGAACAGGCCCAGACUCCUAAGGGGGGCAGCAGUAGGGAAUCUUCGGCAAUGGAGGGAAGGCUGAACGGGCAACGCCGGGGGGGUGAAGGAGGUUUUCGGAUCGUAAAGAUCUGUUGUAAGGGAAGGACGGGAGGGGGAGUGGAAAGUUCACACUGUGACGGUAUCUAACCAGAAAGGGACGGCUAACUACGUG
rnacentral:rRNA from 1 species